rnacentral:rRNA from 1 species
UACGUAGGGUGCAAGCGUUGUCCGGAAUUAUUGGGCGUAAAGAGCUCGUAGGCGGUUUGUCGCGUCGAAUGUGAAAACCCGAGGCUCAACCUCGGGCCUGCAGUGGGUACGGGCAGACUAGAGUGCGGUAGGGGAGAUUGGAAUUCCUGGUGUAGCGGUGGAAUGCGCAGAUAUCAGGAGGAACACCGAUGGCGAAGGCAGAUCUCUGGGCCGUAACUGACGCUGAGGAGCGAAAGCGUGGGGAGCGAACAGG